rnacentral:lncRNA from 1 species
CACACUUGUACUACACCCAGUGACCCAUACUUGCACAGUUGCUACCACUAGGCAUCUGGUAGAGCCGCAGCUACGCAACACACCUGAUACUUUCUCGGCGUCACUAGUAAAUUUUACCGCAGCUACGCAACACACCUGAUACUUUCUCGGCGUCACUAGUAAAUUUUACAUACAGUACAUACACACAGAGAGAGACGCACGGCGCGCCUGAUGAGUGAUGACCACCCGUCCGUGUACGAGGCUUCAGUCUCGCCCUUCAGCGAUGCUCUGGAGGGCCGGCCGCCACUGCCGGCCGAGCCGCCGGCC